rnacentral:rRNA from 1 species
AUUUUUUUUAUUAUUAUUUUUUUUUAUUUAAUUUUAUUUAAAGUAAGUAUAUUUUAUUUUUAGUAUUAAAUUAGAACUAAUAAAUUUUAUGAUAGUGAAAUAGUAUUGUGUAAGAAUUAGUUAAAAUAUGUAAAAGAAAAAUUAAGUUUUUGUACCUUGUGUAUCAGGGUUUAUUAAAUUAAUAUUAAGUAUUUAAUAUUCUCGAAUUAAUAAGAGCUAUUCUUAUAUACUUUAUUUUGUAGCAUAAAAAUUAUUAAUAUAAUUAUAGAAGUGAAAUGCUAUUCGAUUAUUAAUAUAUCUAGUUUCUAAAGAAAAAAAUUUAAUUUUUUUAUUAGUUUUAUUAUAAAAUUUUAUUUUUAAUUUUAUAAUAUUAAUAGAUUAUAUUUUAAGGGAUAAGCUUUAAAGUAUAGUAUUUUAAAUUAAUAAAAUUUAAUUAUAAUAAAGUAGGAUUGAUAGUGUCCAUCUUUAAUAGUGUAUUAUUACUAAUUUAUAAAAAAAUAUAAUUUAUAUUAAUUUGAAAUUUUUUAUUUAGAUAUAAAUUUUAAUUUAAUAAAUUUAUUAAUAAUGAUAAAAUUAGUAAAAAAAUUAUUGUUUAUAUAAUAUAAAUAGUAAGGUUAAAUAAAGGAAUUCGGCAAAUAUAUUUUUCACCUGUUUAUUAAAAACAUGGCUUUUUGAGUAUAAUUUAAGGUCUAGCCUGCCCUAUGAAUAUUAAAUGGCUGCGGUAUUCUGACCGUGCAAAGGUAGCAUAAUCAUUAGUUUCUUAAUUAGAAGCUGGAAUGAAAGGUUGGAUGAGAAAAUAACUGUCUCUGUUUAAUUUAAUUUUGAAUUUUAUUUUUAAGUAAAAAAGCUUAAAUAAUAAUAGAAGACGAGAAGACCCCAUAGAGUUUUACUAAUUUAAAAUUAUGGGCAAGUAGUAUUUUAUUCUUUUUUAAUAAUAAAUUAGUUUGGUUGGGGUGAUUGAAAAAUUUAAUAAACUUUUUUUUUAUUUAAACAUUUAUUUAUGAACAUAUGAUCCUUUAUUUAAGAUUAUAAGAAAAAAUUACCUUGGGGAUAACAGCGUAAUUUUUUUAGAGAGUUCUUAUCGAAAAAAAAGAUUGCGACCUCGAUGUUGGAUUAAAAUAAAAUUUUGGUGUAGAAGCUAAAGUAUUUAGGUCUGUUCGACCUUUAAAAUUUUACAUGAUCUGAGUUUAAACCGGUGUGAGCCAGGUUGGUUUCUAUCUCUAUUUAAAUAAAAUAUUUUAGUACGAAAGGACCAAGUAUUUGAUUAAAAAUUUUUUUUAUUAGAAUAAAUUU